AUGGUUUCCCUGGUGCAGUUGUGGAUUCUCCAAACCCCUGGAAGAAGAGACCUUCUGCUCAUUCACCUGGAACUUGACUCCUUACUGACACAAAUGUCUCCUAAGAAAUUGAUCUUCAUUCCUGGUGAAGAUCAUGGAGACAAGGGAUCCCAGACAACACCUACAUUCUGGAGUUUGGCUUUCCUGGCAGCCCACCAUGAGUACAAGGAGAUACUGGUCCAGUUACACGUUGCAGCUGGGAGUCAGCCCAAGUCCGCACCCUCAGUCACUCUGUUCCCACCCUCCUCUGAGGAGCUCAGCAACAACAAAGCCACACUGGUGUGUCUGGUCAGUGACUUCUACCCUGGAGCCGUGACAGUGGCCUGGAAGGAGAAUGGCAGCCCUGUGUCCCAGGGUGUGGAGACCACCAAGCCCUCCAAACAGAGCAACAACAAGUAUGCGGCCAGCAGCUACCUGAGCGUGUCAGCCAGCAAGUGGAAAUCUGCCAGCCAGUUCAGCUGCCACGUGACACACGAUGGCACCACUGUGGACAAGACAGUGGUCCCCUCAGAGUGUUCCUAG